rnacentral:rRNA from 1 species
AUUGAACGCUGGCGGCAGGCCUAACACAUGCAAGUCGAGCGGAGCGGCGGACGAGUGAGUAAUGCCUAGGUAUCUGCCUGUUAGUGGGGGAUAACGUCCGGAAACGGGCGCUAUUACAGCAUACUAUCAGAUCAGCCUCGGUCGGAUUAGCUAGUUGGUGGGGUAAAGGCCUACCAAGGCGACGAUCCGUAACUGGUCUGAGAGGAUGAUCAGUCACACUGGAACUGAGAAACGGUCCAGAAUCCGACGGGAGGCAGCAGUGGGGAAUAUUGGACAAUGGGCGAAAGCCUGAUCCAGCCAUGCCGCGUGUGUGAAGAAGGUCGUCGGAUUGUAAAGCACUUUAAGUUGGGAGGCGUUACCAACAGAAUAAGCACCGGCUAACUACGUGCCAGCAGCCGCGGUAAUUC